UAUAUAUGUAAACCAACACUAAUGGGGAAUUAUCAAAAUCAUUUGAGACACCAAAAACUGUAAAGCAAACACAAAUGCUGAAAACAAGCUUAAUCAAUAUAGCAAAAUCAUAUGAUGACUGAAAGUUAAAUGAAUGGUAAAUUAAUUGUUGGGUAAGUUCUUGGCCAAUAAUAACAAAAAACAACAACAAAAAGGCCAAGUUGGAAAACAUCCCACCCUUACUGAGGCUGAAGAGGUAUUCAGAGGGAGUUUAAUUGCUGUGAAUUAAAGCAGAGAAGGAAAAUUUGGGCUAUCUUGAAGGAUUAGAAAAUAUAAGUCAUACCUGUGAGGAAAACAGGAAUCAGAAAAAUAAAUAGAAAGCCAGGUCACACGAUCAAUACAGUGUGUAAGGGAAGAACAAUGUCUCCAGAUGAAGAAAACAGACUGUGAGGAGUACUCUGAAACCAGCUACCUCAGAGAGGAGAGGGAAGGAUGGGGACAGCAUGGGGAAAACUCUUAAGCUUAAAAGCUCUGAGGAAUCUGGUCAGAAAGCAGAGAAAAGGGAAGAGGCCGAAAGUACAGUAUGUAACAAGGCAGAACACUGCAUGGAGCUGUUGAGUUCAUGUAAAACUUCCAAAGAUUUCAUUGCAGCACAACUGAAGUCCUCACGACAACCUCCUCGUAUCCUGACUUUUGAGUCUGUGCUUUACAGUCUUCUACUACCUGCGCUUACCUUGUGCAUGGUUGAUGAAUUAGGUCUCAUCUACAGGCACUGUGCUGUGGAUUGGCUCUGGAGAAGUGCUUGCUGUGAGUUCUGCAGCACCAAUCUUCCAGGAGUCUUCAGCCCUGAAGAGAUAACCCAAACCUGCAUUUUGUGCCUACAGGGGAACAUCCUUUCCAAUCGGUCACCACAGCCAAGAAUCGUUUUCUUUCAUGGGACAACCAAGAAAAAAUAUACUGGAACAUUACACGUCUGCUACCCAGACACAUCAGGAAUUGAGAGACACAGAUGCUUAACAGAAACUGUUUAUCCUAUAGCAAGCUGGAAAGUCUUUAACAAAGACCCACGGGCACAUCUCAACAGGAAUUUCCAAAGAAUAGCUAUGCAGAAGCCAUAA
rnacentral:lncRNA from 1 species